rnacentral:rRNA from 1 species
UACGACUACAUAUCAGGCAUAUCAAUAAGCGGAGGAAAAGAAACUAACAAGGAUUCCCUUAGUAACGGCGAGUGAAGCGGGAAGAGCUCAAAUUUGAAAUCUUCAAGGUUUUACCUUGACGAAUUGUAGUUUAAAGAAGUGUUUUCUGUUGAAGUUUUGGUAAAAGUUCUUUGGAAUAGGACAUCAUAGAGGGUGAGAAUCCCGUAUUUGACCAUUAUUUUCAGCUGUGUGAUACACUUUCAAAGAGUCGGAUUGUUUGGGAAUGCAGUCCAAAAUGGGUGGUAAAUUUCAUCUAAAGCUAAAUAUUGGCGAGAGACCGAUAGCGAACAAGUACCGUGAGGGAAAGAUGAAAAGAACUUUGAAAAGAGAGUUAAACAGUACGUGAAAUUGUCAAAAGGGAAGCGUUUGACACCAGUGUUGUUUUCUCGAAAAUCAAUUAAGAAAAGUUGGAUUUUGUGUUGUAUUGACCUUAACAGCUUGCUUCACUCUUUUCCAGCUUUUUUUAAUGCACUUUUCGUUUAACAAGUCAACAUCAGUUUCUUUUGUUGUAAAAGGGUCAUUGGAAGGUGGCUUUCUCUUCGGAGAAAGUGUUUAUAGCCUUAGAUCUCUGCAAUCGGAGAGACUGAGGUCUGCAGCGUAGAUCCUUCGGGGUUAGAUACAUUUGUGCUAAGCUACAGCUUUUCAUAGACAACUUGUUGACUAUGUUUAGUCUUGUGACUUACCCGCUUAUGCUAUUUUACCUACGCUUAGGAUGUUGAGCGCAUGUCUCUCUCU